AGGACGAACGCUGGCGGUGUGCUUCACACAUGCAAGUCGAACGGGGUAGCAAUACCCAGUGGCGGACGGGUGAGUAACACGUGGGAAUCUGCCUUUAGAUGGGGGAUAACUGACCGAAAGGUUAGCUAAUACCGCAUAUGCCGCAAGGUAAAAGGAGCAAUCCGUCUGAAGAUGAGCCCGCGUCCGAUUAGCUAGUUGGUAGGGUAAAAGCCUACCAAGGCUACGAUCGGUAGCUGGUCUGAGAGGAUGAUCAGCCACAAUGGGACUGAGACACGGUCCAUACUCCUACGGGAGGCAGCAGUGGGGAAUUUUGUGCAAUGGGGGAAACCCUGACACAGCGACACCGCGUGAGCGAAGAAGCCCCUUGGGGUGUAAAGCUCUGUCGACAGGGACGAAAAAAUGACGGUACCUGUAGAGGAAGCAUCGGCUAACUACGCGCCAGCAGCCGC
rnacentral:rRNA from 1 species